CGGUUCCGUAGGUGGUAAUNGGGAAUUNNCGAAUAAUUUUUCAAUUAGAAAGCUAAUUGGCGNAAAAACUUAUUAAUAAGGAACCGAUGAUAGAAUAAUUUAUAUGUAAAUUAUUUUGUCAACACAGAUAGAUAUGAUAAAGAUCAACAAAUCUAUACUUUAAAAAAACAAAAAAAUUUAGUAGAAGUAUGCUUUCUAUAACUAAAUUUGCUUUUUUAAUUUCUGAAAUUGUAAUUUAAAAAUUUAUAGUAAAACCAAUAUUUUUGGUUUAUAUUUAAGUUGAGAAAAUUGUAAACUUGAAUAUAAACUAAAAAUUUUAUUUACCACCUCUAUUCGCCCUAGCUUGGCGACUGGAGGACGCACGUUCCGUCCGCGAGAGGGUCGACUCGAUAUAGGGGUAAGUAUAUAAUUCUAAUUUUCAUUUCUAAUAUUACCACCCGGAUGGUCCUGAACUUGGACCCUGGAGUGCUAAUAGUCAGCUCGCGAGAUCGGUCGACUCGAUAUCCGGGUAAUAAUAGAGAAUAUUAGAAAUAUUUGGCUUGUAUUAUAAUACCUAUAAAUGGGUUAACAAACGAUUGAAACAAUCGAAACCUCUUCAAUUUGCUUAUUGAAGAGAGAAGAGACUUUCCUCCACUAGGUUGGCGUCCAAGAGGAUGCCAAUGGAACAAUGCUGAAGUGGGGUCAGCGACUUAGGUGACACCUCCCAUCGAUGAAAUCGUAGGGGCGAAGCUUACUCAAGUUGAGGGUACCACACUGCCCGCCACUCAUGUUCUGGGCCCUUGCAUAAGUGGCAUCGUAACGACUAGAUGCUAAUGAUCGCUAAGGUUGAAGUUCGUGAGCUCAACGUCUCACGAUAGGCUUGACCCUCCGUAAAAACUCUAAACGAGGNGGAGCGCCAUAGCGACGAGAAACAUCNGGGGUAACNUCGUGCACACAUCGGGNCCCUGCAUUCCCCGGUNCUACUGACCUGCAGCAGG
rnacentral:rRNA from 1 species